UUAUUUUGACGCAAACUUUGUUAUGCUAACUGUUUGGGUACUACGAAUGUUUAAAACUCAAAGAAUUUGGCGGCUAGUUAACUAAUUAGGGGAAUAUGUGUCUUAAUUCGAGAGUACGCGUUUUAUCAUACCAUAUCUUGAACAGCCGGUGUACUGCCGUUGUCAGCUAGUGGUGAAACUGGCUUAACCAUGAAUUCAGGUCAAAGUGCUGCCAAUGAUGUUGGGGAGCAGGUAUUACAAGAGACGGAGUGGCCAAUUAUUUUGGUACGAGUGAAAUCGUGGGGGAAGGC
rnacentral:rRNA from 2 species